AAGGGAGACCUAAUUCAGGUAGGAGACGAAAAAAAAGUAGUCCCAACCAAGAAUCAAUCCCAAAAGGUCGGAGCGAGGUAUGAGGCUUUCAAACUAGGUUCUGGGUUCAUAAAAGACCUGAAUCAGGAGCAAGGGCUAUUAGCUCAGGUGGUUAGAGCGCACCCCUGAUAAGGGUGAGGUCCCUGGUUCGAGUCCAGGAUGGCCCACCUGCACAGGUGGCAAAAACAAAGAAAAGAAGCUCCGAAUCAGCACCUUAUCUUACUUAUAUAGUAAGAGAGAAUGCUGGCUCUGAGUUCAGAGUCCAGAGGAACCUUGAAAACUGCAUAGAGCUAGGUGAAAAAGCCAAAAAAGAAGACCGCAAGGUCAAGCUAAUAAGGGCUAACGGUGGAUACCUAGGCAC
rnacentral:tRNA from 1 species